AGUGAACGCUGGCGGUAGGCCUAACACAUGCAUGUCGAACGGCAGCACAGUAAGAGCUUGCUCUUACGGGUGGCGAGUGGCAGACGGGUGAGGAAUACAUCGGAAUCUACUUUUUCGUGGGGGAUAACGUAGGGAAACUUACGCUAAUACCGCAUACGACCUACGGGUGAAAGCAGGGGAUCUUCGGACCUUGCGCGAUUGAAUGAGCCGAUGUCGGAUUAGCUAGUUGGCGGGGUAAAGGCCCACCAAGGCGACGAUCCGUAGCUGGUCUGAGAGGAUGAUCAGCCACACUGGAACUGAGACACGGUCCAGACUCCUACGGGAGGCAGCAGUGGGGAAUAUUGGACAACGGGCGCAAGCCUGAUCCAGCCAUACCGCGUGGGUGAAGAAGGCCUUCGGGUUGUAAAGCCCUUUUGUUGGGAAAGAAAAGCAGCAGGUUAAUACCCCGCUGUUCUGACGGUACCCAAAGAAUAAGCACCGGCUAACUUCGUG
rnacentral:rRNA from 1 species